CAGACCGCAUCUCACGAUUUCUGAAUAAUUAAGUCAUCAAUGCAUUACAGCAACUAUCAACGCCGUUUUGACCAAAAGCGAGUCAAUCCAGUGCAAAUGCGUCCAAACUCAUGGAUUUAGAUUAAUACCGUUUCAAUGCAAUGUUCACCGUCUAAGCUGUUUUUCUUCAAUAAAUUUUUUAUUUAUA